AGUCUACAUGUGUGGCGAUGUGU
rnacentral:siRNA from 1 species